GACAAAUACAAGGCGACAAAGGAGAAGGCCUUAGCUCUGGUGAGCAAGGCUUCUGCUGUCAGCGUGACAGCUGACAUGUGGACGUCCAUGAACAUGGACGCCUACUUGGCUGUAACCUGCCAUUUUAUCAAUGAGGAGGUGGAGCUGUCCUCUGUGGUCUUGGGGGUUCAAAAGUUUCCCCAAACCCACACUGCAGCUCACUUGGCUGAGGCCAAAGAUCUCCUCAUGGAAGAGUAGGGAAUUAAAGGGAAGGUGACAGGCCUGGUCACAGACUGUGCUGCCAACAUGGGUGCAUGUGC